AUUGAACGCUAGCGGCAUGCCUUACACAUGCAAGUCGAACGGAAUGGCGAACGGGUGGGUAAUGUAUCGGUACGUGCCCAGUCGCGGGGGAUAACUACGCGAAAGCGUAGCUAAUUCCGCCUACGCUUGGACCGGCCGAUAGCGAUGUGGCUAGUUGGUGGGGUAACGGCUCACCAAGGCGACGAUCCGUAGCUGGUUUGAGAGGACGACCAGCCACACUGGGACUGGGACACGGCCCAGACUCCUACGGGAGGCAGCAGUGGGGAAUUUUGGACAAUGGGGGAAACCCUGAUCCAGCCAUCCCGCGUGUGCGAUGAAGGCCUUCGGGUUGUAAAGCACUUUUGGCAGGAAAGCGGUACCUGCAGAAUAAGCACCGGCUAACUACGUGCCAGCAGCCGCGGUAAUAC
rnacentral:rRNA from 1 species